GCGGAUGUAGUUCAAUGGUAGAACCCCAGCCUUCCAAGCUGGUCGUGUGGGUUCGAUUCCCAUCAUCCGCUCCA
rnacentral:tRNA from 1 species